rnacentral:rRNA from 1 species
UACAGAGGGGGCAAGCGUUGUUCGGAUUUACUGGGCGUAAAGGGCGCGUAGGCGGCCAGCACAAGUCAGUUGUGAAAUCUCCGAGCUUAACUCGGAAAGGUCAACUGAUACUGUGCGGCUAGAGUGCGGAAGGGGCAACUGGAAUUCUUGGUGUAGCGGUGAAAUGCGUAGAUAUCAAGAGGAACACCUGCGGCGAAGGCGGGUUGCUGGGCUGACACUGACGCUGAGGCGCGAAAGCUAGGGGAGCGAACGGG